GAGGAUCAAAUCAUCAGCGCCAACCCACUGCUGGAGGCCUUUGGAAAUGCCAAGACCGUGAGGAACGACAACUCCUCACGCUUUGUAAGUUGUUACUUUGGACAAAAUCUCUCCCUCUCAUUGCAAGAUAAGUGUUGGCCCUAGACCGUUCCACAUAAAGGAGAUGCCAAAAGAACUCAUCCAGGCUGAAAUGCUGCUUCUUCUCCUUAACAGGGCAAAUUCAUCAGAAUCCACUUUGGAGCCACAGGCAAACUGGCUUCUGCUGACAUUGAAACCUAUCUGCUGGAGAAGUCCAGAGUCACUUUCCAGCUCAAGGCAGAAAGAAGCUACCACAUAUUUUACCAGAUCAUGUCCAACAAGAAGCCGGAGUUGAUUGACAUGCUCCUCGUUACCACCAACCCUUUUGACUUCCACUAUGUGAGUCAAGGUGAGGUCACUGUUCCCAGCAUUGAUGACCAG
rnacentral:lncRNA from 1 species